GCUCCGGUAGUGCAGUGAUUACCACUCAACCCUGGAAGGGGUGAGACGUGGGUUGAACUCCCGCCCGGAGUA